GCGAGGCCGAAAGGCGUAGUCGAUGGGAAACGGGUUAAUAUUCCCGUACUUGGUGUUACUGCGAAGGGGGGACGGAGAAGGCUAUGUUGGCCGGGCGACGGUUGUCCCGGUUUAAGCGUGUAGGUGUGUGUUCCAGGUAAAUCCGGUUCACUUUAACACUGAGGCGUGAUGACGAGGCACUACGGUGCUGAAGCAACAAAUGCCCUGCUUCCAGGAAAAGCCUCUAAGCAUCAGGUAACAUCAAAUCGUACCCCAAACCGACACAGGUGGUCAGGUAGAGAAUACCAAGGCGCUUGAGAGAACUCGGGUGAAGGAACUAGGCAAAAUGGUGCCGUAACUUCGGGAGAAGGCACGCUGACACGUAGGUGAAGUGAUUUACUCAUGGAGCUGAAGUCAGUCGAAGAUACCAGCUGGCUGCAACUGUUUAUUAAAAACACAGCACUGUGCAAACACGAAAGUGGACGUAUACGGUGUGACGCCUGCCCGGUGCCGGAAGGUUAAUUGAUGGGGUCAGCGCAAGCGAAGCUCCUGAUCGAAGCCCCGGUAAACGGCGGCCGUAACUAUAACGGUCCUAAGGUAGCGAAAUUCCUUGUCGGGUAAGUUCCGACCUGCACGAAUGGCGUAAUGAUGGCCAGGCUGUCUCCACCCGAGACUCAGUGAAAUUGAACUCGCUGUGAAGAUGCAGUGUACCCGCGGCAAGACGGAAAGACCCCGUGAACCUUUACUAUAGCUUGACACUGAACAUUGAGCCUUGAUGUGUAGGAUAGGUGGGAGGCUUUGAAGUGUGGACGCCAGUCUGCAUGGAGCCGGCCUUGAAAUACCACCCUUUAAUGUUUGAUGUUCUAACGUGGACCCGUGAUCCGGGUUGCGGACAGUGUCUGGUGGGUAGUUUGACUGGGGCGGUCUCCUCCUAAAGAGUAACGGAGGAGCACGAAGGUUGGCUAAUCCUGGUCGGACAUCAGGAGGUUAGUGCAAUGGCAUAAGCCAGCUUGACUGCGAGCGUGACGGCGCGAGCAGGUGCGAAAGCAGGUCAUAGUGAUCCGGUGGUUCUGAAUGGAAGGGCCAUCGCUCAACGGAUAAAAGGUACUCCGGGGAUAACAGGCUGAUACCGCCCAAGAGUUCAUAUCGACGGCGGUGUUUGGCACCUCGAUGUCGGCUCAUCACAUCCUGGGGCUGAAGUAGGUCCCAAGGGUAUGGCUGUUCGCCAUUUAAAGUGGUACGCGAGCUGGGUUUAGAACGUCGUGAGACAGUUCGGUCCCUAUCUGCCGUGGGCGCUGGAGAACUGAGGGGGGCUGCUCCUAGUACGAGAGGACCGGAGUGGACGCAUCACUGGUGUUCGGGUUGUCAUGCCAAUGGCACUGCCCGGUAGCUAAAUGCGGAAGAGAUAAGUGCUGAAAGCAUCUAAGCACGAAACUUGCCCCGA
rnacentral:rRNA from 1 species